rnacentral:rRNA from 1 species
AGAGUUUGAUCCUGGCUCAGAUUGAACGCUGGCGGCAUGCCUUACACAUGCAAGUCGAACGGUAACGCGGGGCAACCUGCGACGAGUGGCGAACGGGUGAGUAAUGCAUCGGAACGUGUCCUGUAGUGGGGGAUAGCCCGGCGAAAGCCGGAUUAAUACCGCAUACGACCUAUGGGUGAAAGGGGGGGAUCGCAAGACCUCUCGCUACUGGAGCGGCCGAUGUCAGAUUAGUAGUUGGUGGGGUAAAAGCCUACCAAGCCGACGAUCUGUAGCUGGUCUGAGAGGACGACCAGCCACACUGGGACUGAGACACGGCCCAACUCCUACGGGAGGCAGCAGUGGGGAAUUUUGGACAAUGGGCGAAAGCCUGAUCCAGCCAUGCCGCGUGCGGGAAGAACGGCCUUCGGGUUGUAAACCGCUUUUGUCAGGGAAGAAACGCUCUGGGCUAAUACCCCGGGGUAAUGACGGUACCUGAAGAAUAAGCACCGGCUAACUACGUGCCAGCAGCCGCGGUAAUACGUAGGGUGCAAGCGUUAAUCGGAAUUACUGGGCGUAAAGCGUGCGCAGGCGGCAUGCAAGACAGAUGUGAAAUCCCCGGGCUCAACCUGGGAACUGCAUUUGUGACUGCAUGGCUGGAGUGCGGCAGAGGGGGGAUGGAAUUCCGCGUGUAGCAGUGAAAUGCCGUAGAUAUGCGCGAGGAACACGGAUG